rnacentral:rRNA from 1 species
CCUCUGGNUUAACUGGGGGCUUGCGGUGGGUACGGNCCGGCUUGAGUGCGGUAGGGGAGACUGGAACUCCUGGUGCAGCGGUGGAAUGCGCAGAUAUCAGGAAGAACACCGGUGGCGAAGGCGGGUCUCUGGGCCGUUACUGACGCUGAGGAGCGAAAGCGUGGGGAGCGAACAGGAUUAGAUACCCUGGUAGUCCACGCCGUAAACGUUGGGCACUAGGUGUGGGGGGGCCUUUUCCGGGUCUUCCGCGCCGUAGCUAACGCAUUAAGUGCCCCGCCUGGGGAGUACGGCCGCAAGGCUAAAACUCAAAGGAAUUGACGGGGGCCCGCACAAGCGGCGGAGCAUGCGGAUUAAUUCGAUGCAACGCGAAGAACCUUACCAAGGCUCGACAUGUGCCGGUCGGCUCCGGAGACGGGGCUUCCUCCUUGUGGGGCCGGUUCACAGGUGGUGCAUGGUUGUCGUCAGCUCGUGUCGUGAGAUGUUGGGUUAAGUCCCGCAACGAGCGCAACCCUUGUCCCGUGUUGCCAGCACGUUGUGGUGGGGACUCGCGGGAGACUGCCGGGGUCAACUCGGAGGAAGGUGGGGAUGACGUCAAAUCAUCAUGCCCCUUAUGUCUUGGGCUUCACGCAUGCUACAAUGGCCGGUACAGAGGGCUGCGAUACCGUGAGGUGGAGCGAAUCCCUUAAAGCCGGUCUCAGUUCGGAUCGGUGUCUGCAACUCGACACCGUGAAGUUGGAGUCGCUAGUAAUCGCAGAUCAGCAACGCUGCGGUGAAUACGUUCUCGGGCCUUGUACACACCGCCCGUCACGUCAUGAAAGUCGGCAACACCCGAAG